rnacentral:rRNA from 1 species
GACAGAGGGUGCAAACGUUGUUCGGAAUCACUGGGCGUAAAGCGUGUGUAGGCGGCUUCUCAAGUCGGGUGUGAAAUCCCAGGGCUCAACCCUGGAAGUGCAUUCGAAACUGGGUAGCUAGAGUACUGGAGAGGAAGGUGGAAUGCUUGGUGUAGAGGUGAAAUUCGUAGAUAUCAAGCGGAACACCGGUGGCGAAGGCGGCCUUCUGGACAGAUACUGACGCUGAGGCACGGAAAGCGUGGGGAGCAAACAGG